rnacentral:rRNA from 1 species
GAUGAACGCUGGCGGCAUGCCUUACACAUGCAAGUCGAACGGCAGCACGGGUGCUUGCACCUGGUGGCGAGUGGCGAACGGGUGAGUAAUACAUCGGAACGUACCUUAUCGUGGGGGAUAACGCAGCGAAAGCUGUGCUAAUACCGCAUACGCCCUGAGGGGGAAAGCGGGGGAUCGCAAGACCUCGCGCGAUCAGAGCGGCCGAUGCCUGAUUAGCUAGUUGGUGGGGUAAAAGCCCACCAAGGCGACGAUCAGUAGCUGGUCUGAGAGGACGAUCAGCCACACUGGGACUGAGACACGGCCCAGACUCCUACGGGAGGCAGCAGUGGGGAAUUUUGGACAAUGGGGGCAACCCUGAUCCAGCAAUGCCGCGUGAGUGAAGAAGGCCUUCGGGUUGUAAAGCUCUUUUGUCAGGGAAGAAACACCGGCUCUAACACAGUCCGGGAAUGACGGUACCUGAAGAAUAAGCACCGGCUAACUACGUGCCAGCAGCAGCCGUAA